GAAAUGGUGCACUUGUCCAAAUUUUAUGAAUCUAUCUAAAGAUUUUGCCACUUACGCAAUUCAGUCUUAUCAAUCGAUAUUGAAAUACAAGUGAGACUGGAUAUGUUCUGAAUGUGUGGGGAAGUAGGCUCUGCCAUGGGCGGAAUCUAAUCAAAGGGCCUCGACUCAAAUACAACUUGGUGUGGUUGGGCAAGAGGGAACUCCGUGAGUUCAAAAAAAGACCUCUUCAGGGUUGAUGCUGACGGUAGGAGGGGAGUUGGAAGCCAACACCCGCAGCAGAGGAGAACCUCACAAAGACACUGGCAGCUCGGGAUCCAGCAGCGCCCCCAGAAUUCCACUUGGGACCAAAGUUAAGGUCCCAACACUCAGGUCCUCUAGCUUUCUAUCCCAGUAGGUGGGACAUUAAAGACCCCAGAGUUGGCUUCAGGACAACUGCUGAGAAGAUGAUGACCUUAGGGGGUCCUUUGGGGUAUCCUUGUCUGGGCCCCCGAAUCAGAGAAAAAGAUGAGUGCUUCAGAGAUAGACAACCACACCUCUGCCCUUUGAAAACCACCAACAGACAUGUUGUUUUCAGCUCUGUAUUUAUCAAUAUAAAUAACUGAGAAUGCACCGGUGUUCCUGAUCUGGUUUCCUUGGAUCAUCUGGUCUACCUGGGGACACUGAAGAAGUACAUGUGGCUAGUCACAGGAAAGUGGCUUCUAGGAAGAAGACCCACCUCCUCCCCUUCUCUCAGGUCCCCCUGCUGCACAGAACUACAGUUAGACAGCCACCAUAUUUCCCACAGACUAGAGAAGAGACGGCGAGGAUGCACUGUGAAGUAUGAGACCCUUCCGGAGGUAAAUUCAAGAGUGGUGCAAAACCAAUGAAGUAGCACCAGAGCCUAACAGGGCUGAAAGAAGCCAGGCGGAAGGAGCACUGUGGGUGACCUUCAAUCUAAAAUCUACUAUCUAGUCUUCCCUGCCCCUCCCGGAGGAUAAGUGGGGUGACUUACUUUGUGGGUUGCUCCCACCAACCCUGGAAGGAAGCAGGAAGUGGAGAAAGGUGGAAGAGCCUCUAUGCCAGAUGAUUCUGGAAGCAGCCUGCCCUCACCACCCAGGCCGCCCCGUGGCAGAUGACAGAUGGUACGAGCUGUUGUGAGGUGCUCAGCGCCUAUGCCAGUCUUUUCCAGAAGGGGCUGAAUUUGGCUGCCCAUGUUCACAGAGUCCCUUUCAUGUGUACAUAGUCCGGAUGCCAUAAAGGUUAGCUGUAGUGUGGGCAGGCGCCAUUCACUCAACAGCUCAAGAGCCUGCUGUCAACCAGACAUUGGGGACACAAUGUGAACUAACCCCAAUCACUUCCCCAGCAUAGCGGUGGGGACAGAUGUUGACUAAGCAAACAGAAUAAAUAUAGAAGUCCGAAUCGGGACGCACUGUCCGAGGGUUAGCAAUCCACAGAAUGAGGUAGACAACAAAUUCAAGACAGCCAUGAUCGAGCUAGAGCCUGCCAACGAAACUCUUGAUCUGCCCUUGACUCUGGGUAAGUUAAGCUUCCUUCUCAGCUAUAAAAUGGGUCACCAAAGACAGAGACACACUUCAGGAAUUAGCUAAGGGAAAACGCCCAAUAGCUGCUAGCUUGUGUUAGCAGUAGGAACCUCUGGAAGUUAAGAUGUUACGUUGUUAAGGCUCAGAAUGUCUCUUAGCACAGCCUAGAGACCCUAACUCAUCUCUUUCCCCAGCAGCCAGACCUGGGCUUUCCUCAUCUCUCAGGAGGCUCUGGUAGACUUCUUCUUCCAGCUGACUCUAGCCAGAACCUCCGAGUGCUGCCAUCAUUACAGUCCUGGGUCUCUUUAAGCAGCCACUGCCAGCACUGUGGGGGAUUCGUGGUGAAUCAGCCCUGGCCCAGUGAGCUGGACACACAAUCGCUCAGCCAGGAUAUGGCUGUGAGCCCACAAGCCGCUGCGAGGAGACAAAGCUGUUCUUGGGCCUUCUAAAGCUCUCCCUGAUUCCUGCUGUGUUCGAUGGGCAGGCAUAUUCUGUCCAGCCUCUAGCCCCAAGGUGGACUAAGGCUGGCUUCGCUCUCUUGAGGGUUGGAAGGCAAGACAAUUGUUCCAGCAGAGAAAUCGGACGACGGACAGAAAACGAAAGAAAAGAAAAGAAAGAAACCCAAGCAUGUUUCUAUCUCCCUUCACAAAGCUUAUCUGUGCGGAGGCAAUCUCUGCUCAUGUCCUCCUCUUUGGAUGGGGAGGAGGGGGCAGCAAAGAGACAUUAUCAGAGUCGUUCAAAUGUGCUGCUGGUCCUGGGAGCUCAGGAAUACUGCUUUGAGGGCUGCCUGGCCAGUUUCCAUCCUGUUGCCAAGCAACCUGACAUGCAAUCCAUCCAUCGGAACCUUAUCACGGAGUCAGUGAGCCGGAAGGCGCUGAAGAGCUCUCUGCCCGGACUCCCUACACCAAAGCCUUUGGGGAGGCUCAUGGAGAAUGAAAAAGAAGGCACAGUCUUUGCCCAGGCCUCACAGUGACCCUCAAGAACAGAGUCAGGCCAGGAUUGGUGGCGCAGGCCUGAGAUCCCGGAUGCUCAGGAGACUGUAGCACAGGGAUCAAAAGAUCAAGGUCGCUAUGGGCUAGAGUGAAUUCAAGGCCAACCUGGGAACUUAGUGUGACCCUGUCUCAGGGACUGAAAGUGGAAACUGGGCAGUAGCUAAGUGAGGAAAGGUUGUUUGGCAUUCAACCCCAGUGUGGUUCACCCAAAGGUCUUGUGAGAAUGUGCUCUGGGAAGGAGCACAGGUGUCUGACCUCCCCUCACCUCUCUUGUAGCUAUGACCACUCUUAAAAUACACAGGCAAAGAUCUAACAGCGUUCCUUCAAUUUCCCCAAAGUGGGAAGCAAAGGGCUCCUUCGUCUGCGUCUGCCUCCAAGGCCACUUCUCAUUUUGUUUGAAACCACUGCAGCUCAAGACCUGUAGACAUCCCAUGCACUGAGUACUCCUAAGCACCUUCCUGGCGGUGGCUGCUUUAAGAGACCCAGGGUUGUAAUAAUGGCAGUGAUCAGAGGUUUGGGCUGGAGUCAGCUGUGAACUCUGAGUCACCAUGUUCCAAGCCUGCUUCUCAGGAGGACCUCAGACAGAGAAGCCAGCAUUAAGAGUCAAAUCGCACUGAACACCAACCGGGGACGGCUAUUACUGUACGUACACCACACAGCCACAAACCUGACUUGAAAAACAAGUGCACAGGGUCCCCUUUUCUCAUGAAAACUGCACACAUCCAGACUUGCAACAGCACAGAAAUGCUAGGAAAGAAAUGGACAGUGUCUCGCUUCGAGAACGUGGCACUCGAUUUUUUUUUUUUAAUUGAGGAGAAAAAGCUCCCUCCUUUAGGAUACAAAAAAGUGAGUUCAAAGAGCGAAGCAAGGCAAUAGCUGACCUCCUCUGGGUCCUUCCCCCAGGAAGGUGCCCGGCUAAAAAGCCACUGAAUACUGGCCAAGAAUGGGCACCACAGCUGGGCACUGGGCCACACCCAGAGGGCAGCCCACCCCCUCCCUUCACACCACAGGACACACAGGCCAAGGGCCAAUGAUCCCCAGGCAUGAAACCAAAUGAACAAAGAGGUUACACAACUCCGUAAUCACAUGAGAGCCAAGACAGGACCUGACAUCAUAAGCCCACCAACAUCUCCCUGGGCUUCGGUGUGAGCUCACAGGGUAAAUAAACAGCCAUGAUUAAUCAGAUUAUAAAUAUAUAACAAUAAACAGCAUAAACAUAAUAAUAAA